GAGUUUGAUCAUGGCUCAGAUUGAACGCUGGCGGCAUGCUUUACACAUGCAAGUCGAACGGCAGCGCGGGGCAACCUGGCGGCGAGUGGCGAACGGGUGAGUAAUAUAUCGGAACGUACCCAGAAGUGGGGGGAUAACGUAGCAAAAGUUACGGCUAAUACCGCAUACGAUCUUACGGAUGAAAGUGGGGGAUCGCAAGACCUCAUGCUCCUGGAGCGGCCGAUAUCUGAUUAGCUAGUUGGUGAGGUUAAAGGCUCACCAAGGCGACGAUCAGUAGCUGGUCUGAGAGGACGACCAGCCACACUGGACUGAGACACGGUCCAGACU
rnacentral:rRNA from 1 species